rnacentral:lncRNA from 1 species
UAUUCUGAUAAUUAAACGAUUAACAUAAGUUAUAUAGAUUAAAAUAUAUGCUAAAAUACUAAUUAUAAGUAGAAAAUGAAAAAGAAAAAAAGAAAAAAGAGUAAUUACAAGAAAAUGAAAAAGAAAAAAAGAAAAUAGAAUAAUUACAAGACAAUGAAAAUGAGACCAUAUGUAUUAAAGGAAACAAACCCAAUCAUUUUUCUAGUGUUAAAUUAGCACCAACUUUAUUAUUGUGAGAUCCUCAUAAUCCUAACAAACAUCUCAAUCUCAUCAAAACAAUACGAAAAACCCUAUCAUAAUCAUUGGUGAUGCAAGAAUAAAAUUGAAAAUAAGAGGAAACACAGAUGAAUAGAGUGACAAAAUAAACAAGUUAGAGAAAGGUAACCUUCAAAAGAUUAACCUAUAUCAGAAAUCAAUUGUUCUGUACAUUUGAUAGAUAAGAUAGAAAAUUACUCAUAAAAGAUAGAAAAAAAAAGGAAAAUAUGACAAUUUUUCAGCAGUACGUAUUUUUUUACCCUUUGUAUUUUUUUUAUACAAUCAUAAAGUGAUUAUGAACCAGAGAUUUCUAUUAAAUAUUGUAAGCUAAAUAUUUAUAUUAAGUAAAUCCUCAAUUAUAUAAAUCAAUCAAAAAUUUAGUGAGUAACAAACCUUGAAAUUAAUUAAUUUAGAAUGAUAUGUAUUGAACAUCAAAAUUAAUUAAAUAUAUACUUAUAUCCUAAAGAACAUAAAAUGUCAUCUUUUAUAUUCUGAUAAUUAAACGAUUAACAUAAGUUAUAUAGAUUAAAAAAUAUGCUAAAAUACUAAUUAUAAGUAGAAAAAGAAAAAGAAAAAAAGAAAAAAGAAUAAUUACAAGAAAAUGAAAAAGAAAAAAAGAAAAAUGAAUAAUUACAAGACAAUGAAAAUGAGACCGUAUAUAUUAAAGGAAACCAACCCAAUCAUUUAUCUAGUGUUACAUUAGCACUAACUUUAUUAUUGUGAGAUCCUCAUAAUCCUAACAAACAUCUUAAUCUCAUCAAAACAAUAUGAAAAACCCUAUCAUAAUCAAUGGUGAUGCAAGAAUAAAAUUGAAAAUAAGAGGAAACACAGAUGAAUAGAGUGACAAAAUA